GUCAGUGGUUGUCAAAAGCUUUCCUGUUUUUCCAUGAAAAUUACCGAUGAAUUCAUCAGUAAAUUCAAGUUCUUUUCUGUGCAACUUGUUUGCGAUGGGAUUUAUUCUGAUGUGUGCUGGAUCAAAUUAAAAAUUCCUCAAUCUAACCUGCAUGAAGGAACGGGAAAGGACAGUAGCAUACAAGCAACCUACCAUCACUACCACCAACUCUUUUAUUAAAAAUCUUCGUUCUGCUGAAUGCAUCAUGCAGUCAAAACAGGCCAUGGGUAAUCUUCAGGUCUUUGCAGCAGCUUAAGAGAAGAAUAUGAACAAAUGCAGGGCAACUUACCAACAUGUGUUGUAUUUUUCUGAAUGUUAAACACGAGCAGUAGAUUCAACAUGACUAACUGUUGGAUGCCAAAGUUAGUUGGAACUCAACUCACUGUACAUACUCGUCAAUAGGUGGCAUUGAAUAAGUGGCUGUAUGAUGUCCAGCAGAUAGCGCGAGUGUCUUCAGGGACGCUUCCCUUAGCGGCCAUUUUGAUCCAAGACGCAGAAGAAAAGGGUUGUUGGUUGUGACGUUUCUCACGAUGAAAAUUAAAAGGUGAUUUGGCAUGUAGAAACCAAUUUGUCAAAUCAUUCAACUCAGACUUGGGAAGUGCCUGUACAUUUCCGAAAUGGCGUGCCUCGUGUGUCUCGCUGCCUGUUCUUUGGCUUACGUCUCACCCCAUUCAACAGUAAAAAGUAAAACGAAUGCUGGUGGUUACCUUGUUGCAGCCAAAUGGUGAAAGGUGUGA